rnacentral:rRNA from 1 species
CCUACGGGUGGCAGCAGUGGGGGAUAUUGCACAAUGGGGGAAACCCUGAUGCAGCGACGCCGCGUGGGUGAAGAAGCGCCUCGGCGCGUAAAGCCCUGUCAGCAGGGAAGAAAAUGACGGUACCUGAAGAAGAAGCCCCGGCUAACUACGUGCCAGCAGCCGCGGUAAUACGUAGGGGGCAAGCGUUAUCCGGAUUUACUGGGUGUAAAGGGGGCGCAGACGGCGAUGCAAGCCAGGAGUGAAAGCCCGGGGCCCAACCCCGGGACUGCUCUUGGAACUGCGUGGCUAGAGUGCAGGAGGGGCAGGCGGAAUUCCUGGUGUAGCGGUGAAAUGCGUAGAUAUUAGGAGGAACACCGUUAGCGAAGGCGGCAAUCUGGCUGGAAACUGACGCUGAGGUGCGAAAGCGUGGGUAGCAAACAGGAUUAGAUACCCUUGUAGUC